rnacentral:lncRNA from 1 species
GUCUGCCAAAGCACCUGAGCUCCACCCACAGAACUGACACCUGAAUCCUGUUAUUCCCCACAAACACACAGCUUUGGAGAAAGCUUCCAAGAAACAGCUGACCACAAGGAUGAAACUCGUGUGGGAGGAAGAGGGAGCAUGCUUGGCAGCUGGCCUCCAACGCAGGAAUCGCUGCCACAGGAGGACAGCCAAAGGGAAGGAGUUGCAGGGCCUGCAGCCGCCAGCAGCUGAACCCAGUGCCGACUGCUUGCAUAGGACCAGCCUCUGCAGUGAGCACCCAGUGCUCGGCUUUGUCUUCCAUCUGCUGCCCCUCCAAAAUUACUCCUGUGACUGCGAACACUCUGUCCAUGGGUGAAAAGAUACACUGAGCUGCCAUUAACAUCAAAGCAGUGUGAACUAACAUCCAGUGGCCAGAAGUGA